rnacentral:rRNA from 1 species
CAGCCGCCACGGGAAUACGAAGGGGGCUAGCGUUGCUCGGAAUUACUGGGCGUAAAGGGAGCGUAGGCGGAUCGUUUAGUCAGGGGUGAAAUCCCGGGGCUCAACCUCGGAACUGCCUUUGAUACUGGCGAUCUUGAGUAUGGGAGAGGUGUGUGGAACUCCGAGUGUAGAGGCGAAAUUCGUAGAUAUUCGGAAGAACACCAGUGGCGAAGGCGACACACUGGCCCAUUACUGACGCUGAGGCUCGAAAGCGUGGGGAGCAAACAGGAUUAGAUACCCGCGUAGUCCCUGUCUCUUAUAC